AACGAACGCUGGCGGCAUGCCUAACACAUGCAAGUCGAACGAGACCUUCGGGUCUAGUGGCGCACGGGUGCGUAACGCGUGGGAACCUGCCCUUAGGUUCGGAAUAACUCCCCGAAAGGGGUGCUAAUACCGGAUAAUGUCUUCGGACCAAAGAUUUAUGGCCUUUGGAUGGGCCCGCGUUGGAUUAGCUAGUUGGUGGGGUAAAAGCCUACCAAGGCGACGAUCCAUAGCUGGUCUGAGAGGAUGAUCAGCCACACUGGGACUGGGACACGGCCAGACUCCUACGGGAGGCAGCAGUGGGGAAUAUUGGACAAUGGGCGAAAGCCUGAUCCAGCAAUGCCGCGUGAGUGAUGAAGGCCUUAGGGUUGUAAAGCUCUUUUACCCGGGAUGAUAAUGACAGUACCGGGAGAAUAAGCUCCGGCUAACUCCGUG
rnacentral:rRNA from 1 species